CAGUAGCACGGUAAUACAGAGGUCUCAAGCGUUGUUCGGAUUCAUUGGGCGUAAAGGGAGCGUAGGCGGUCGGGUAAGUUGGAUGUGAAAUCCUGGGGCUCAACCUCAGAACUGCAUUCAAUACUGCUUGGCUAGAGUACUGGAGAGGUGAGUGGAAUUCACGGUGUAGCAGUGAAAUGCGUAGAUAUCGUGAGGAAGACCAGCGGCGAAGGCGGCUCACUGGACAGUUACUGACGCUGAUGCUCGAAGGCCAGGGGAGCAAACGGGAUUAGAUACCCGAGUAGUCCCUGUCUCUUAUACA
rnacentral:rRNA from 1 species